CACCACUGUGCGUGCGCAGCUCGGAGUUUGCCGCGUGCGCAGAUCGACUCGAGCUUCGGCGCGAAUUGGUGACGGAUUAGGCACAGGAUGUAAGCGGGAGCCAGUGAAACAGAAUAGUAUUAUGUGAACAUGCUUACAAGUCAGUGACACAGGCAGGCAAGAACAACCAACUCCGACAGCACCAGGAUUUCAGGUCCAGCGUUGGUCACCAUAAAUGCCCAUUCCAUCAGAAAGUUUGCUAUCUCCGUUAUUCCCUGAAAACACGAGAUGAAAACUUUUUCUCAGCCAUCACUAAAAACUACAUAGGGUAAGUAACAUAUGAAAGCAGUCCAUCACUUUUGGGUGGUGUCUUCCUUUAAUCAGGUUUGAAAAAGUUAUUUUACAAAAAAAAGGUGCCCAAGUAUCGUAAAAGUUUAUAUAACUAGCCAGAGAAAUAAAAAAAAGAUGAAAUGGCUGUAACAAAAGU